GCAGCAGGCGCGCAAAUUACCCACUCCCGGCACGGGGAGGUAGUGACGAAAAAUAACGAUACGGGACUCAUCCGAGGCCCCGUAAUCGGAAUGAGCACACUUUAAACUCUUUAACGAGUAUCCAUUGGAGGGCAAGUCUGGUGCCAGCAGCCGCGGUAAUUCCAGCUCCAAUAGCGUAUAUUAAAGUUGUUGCGGUUAAAAAGCUCGUAGUUGGACUUGUGUCCCACGCUGUCGGUUCACCGUUCGUCGGUGUCAACUGGCAUGCCAGUGGGGACGUCCUGCCGGUGGAUGCGGCCGGCCGCGGGCCCUCUGGGUCCGCGCGUCGGCGGUCCGGUGCAAUCCUACCGCGGUGCUCUUCACCGAGUGUCGAGGUGGGCCGGCACGUUUACUUUGAACAAAUUAGAGUGCUUAAAGCAGGCAGUGGUUCGCCUGAAUAUUGUGUGCAUGGAAUAAUGGAAUAGGACCUCGGUUCUAUUUUGUUGGUUUUCGGAACUUGAGGUAAUGAUUAAUAGGGACAGACGGGGGCAUUCGUAUUGCGACGUUAGAGGUGAAAUUCUUGGAUCGUCGCAAGACGAACCUAAGCGAAAGCAUUUGCCAUGAGUGUUUUCAUUAAUCAAGAACGAAAGUUAGAGGUUCGAAGGCGAUCAGAUACCGCCCUAGUUCUAACCAUAAACGAUGCCAGCCAGCGAUCCGCCGAUGUUCCUCCGAUGACUCGGCGGGCAGCUUCCGGGAAACCAAAGCUUUUGGGUUCCGGGGGAAGUAUGGUUGCAAAGCUGAAACUUAAAGGAAUUGACGGAAGGGCACCACCAGGAGUGGAGCCUGCGGCUUAAUUUGACUCAACACGGGAAACCUCACCAGGCCCGGACACCGGAAGGAUUGACAGAUUGAGAGCUCUUUCUUGAUUCGGUGGGUGGUGGUGCAUGGCCGUUCUUAGUUGGUGGAGCGAU
rnacentral:rRNA from 1 species